rnacentral:tRNA from 9 species
GGUGGGGUGGCCGAGAGGCGAGGCAGCGGCCUGCAAAGCCGUCCACGCGGGUUCAAAUCCCGUCCCCACCUCCA